rnacentral:rRNA from 1 species
CCUACGGGAGGCAGCAGUAGGGAAUAUUGCUCAAUGGGGGAAACCCUGAAGCAGCAACGCCGCGUGGAGGAUGAAGGUUCUCGGAUUGUAAACUCUUUUUGUUAGAGAAGAUAAUGACGGUAUCUAACGAAUAAUCACCGGCCAACGCCGUGCCAGCAGCCGCGGUAAUACGGAGGGUGCCAGCGUUACUCGGAAUCACUGGGCGUAACGAGGGCGUAGGCGGGAUAGCAAGUCAGGUGUGAAAUCCUAUGGCUUAACCAUAGAACUGUAGUUGAAACUGUUAGUCUAGAGUUGGGGAGAGGUAGGUGGAAUGCGUGGUGUAGGGGUAAAAUGCAUAGAGAUCAAGAAGAAUACUGAUUGCGAAGGCGACCUGCUAGAACAUAACUGACGCUGCUGCGCGAAAGCGUGGGGAGCGAACAGGAUUAGAUACCCUAGUAGUC